rnacentral:sRNA from 1 species
CCCGGCCACGGCGCCGCCCCUGUUCUCCCGGCCCCGCUCCACCGGGGCUGACGGACUGACGGCCAGCACAGCCGGCUCCGGGAUGAGCGCACGGACGGUAUUCUGAAGUCUCAGGAAACUGGACCAUUUAAAUGUGCAUGGCCCAUGAGAAAGGCAUAUAAGAAGCCAUGGCACUCCCCUUUCAAAAAGAGCUGGAGAAAUACAAGAACAUUGAUGAAGAUGAGCUUCUUGGCAAACUCUCAGAAGAGGAACUGAAACAGUUGGAAAAUGUUCUAGAUGACCUAGAUCCCGAGGUUAGUGACAUGGAACUGAAGCAGAGUGGUUAAUGAUAGUAUGGAUAAAUGGCAUGGCCUGGUCCUUAAACAGUGGUAGAAAUCCCUUAGCUCUUAAUGCACAUUUUCUUUUCUUCUCUGAUUGGUUCUGGGUCACCUGUGUUUACAAAUUCAUAGAGAACCUCAUAGCCAAAUACAGUGUGAUACAGCAAAUGUAUUUCUCAAAAACCAGCCCAACGUAAAUGGGGGGAAAUAUUUUCUGUUGGUUGAGAAAGGACUAGUCUGGUUUAAGGGAAAAAGAAGGAAAGAGGAAAAGAAAGCAAAUCUUACUGAGUUUUUUCUGAGUCAUAUAUUUCUCUGGGCACAGAAGCCCUUGAGGUAAAACUUUAUUAACCCCUAGACAUGGAGAGGUAAUUUAUAUAAGAUUCCACACUGGUAAGUGUCAGAGAUGGUAUUUAAACCAGGUUUUUAGCCCCAAAUGCAGAAUUUUUUUUUUUUUUUUUUUUUUUUUUGAGACAGUCUCACCUCUGUCACCCAGCCGAGAUCACGCCACUGCACUCUAGCCUGGGCGACAGAGGGAGAAUCUGUCUCAAAAAAAAAAAAAAAAAGAAAUAUUAAAGUAUAUUUUAACCUUUGAAAUGGAUUAAUAUGUGUCUAAAAUAUCUUAGACAACCAAAUCAUGAAACAUUUUGUGUUUGACACCAGAAUGUGAAAAAAAUAGCCAGCCAGGUGUGGUAACAUAUACCUCUGGUCCCAGCUACUUAGGAGGCUGAGGUGAGACAAUUGCUGGAGCCCAGGAGUUCUAGGCUGCAGUAAGCUAUGUUUGCACCUCUGCACUCCAGUCUGGGCAAUACAACGAGAUGAUAGAUAGAGAGAGAGAUAGAGAGAGAGAGAGAGAGAGAGAGAGAGAGAGAGAGAGAGAAAAGAAAAAUAGCCAACUAAAAGUUCUAUUCUUCCUAUGCAUUUUAGAUAAUUUAGCCAAAUAAGGAAGCCCCUUGACCCAGGUAAAUACUUAUACCAUCACUAUCAUGAUUUUUAUUCUUCCUAUCAAUAGCCAAUUAGUAACUCCUCCUAUUAAUAGCUACUUUAUUGAGGAAUUAGUAAAUGCCAGCACUGAUCUUUGUGCUUUCCAUGCAGCAUCUCAUCCAUUUGUCACUGUAAUACUAUGAGGUGUAUACUAUUAUUAGUUCCAACUUUAACAAAUGAGAAAACAGACUCAGAGAGGUUAAGUAAGCUAUCCAAGGUAAUACAACCAGUAAAUGGCAAAGCCAGAAUUCACUACCAAGUCUUUCUGGUUCUACAACCAGGAAGCUUAACCAUCAAGCUAUGCUAGAUUUACACACAAUGCCUGGCUGUCAUACAUUUGCUAAAAUAUGUCACUUAUCAAAAGCCUGGGCAUCAGCCUGUUGUUCUAUGGCAUUUAAUGCUCAGCCCUUGAAUCAAGUUAGAAAAACGAAAGUUGUCUGGACUUGAUGGUUUGAUUUAAAGUAACGUGUCUUUUGGAAGAUCUAAAAUAGCAUUUAAAACAGAUGACAUGAAAGUAAUGACUACCUAUCAUGGUCCUGGCACAGAAUAGAUGUUUGAAAAGUACUUGUUAAAUAAACGAAUGAUCAUAACCUCCAACCUCUAGCAAUAGAGAAUAUUUCUAUGGUGAUCACAGCAAACUUGAAAUAAGCACUCAUGUAAAAGAGGAACCAGGCUACAAAAAUCAGUGUUUUUACCAGCAGUUAUUACAUAUCUAAAUUUGUAGAUUUAAAGCAGUUUUGAAUUUGAAACCUAUCGUUAAAAUAGAAAGAUGGCAGAACUAGAUAAUUGGUAAGGUGAAAUGAGCAGUUUAAGGAUUCUUAUCUCUGUAUGAUUUUGUACUAUUUCUGCCUUUUAGUAGAUUUUUUUCAGUAAAGCAAAAAUAUUCACAAUAUACUUUGUAUGUAAAUGAAUAAAGGGAUAAAGAAAUGAUUUGUCACUUCUGUUUAAUAUAUUAUUUUGAGUAAAAUUGCAGGGGUGGGGUUAGUUCACAAUCAACUCUCAACACUACUGGUAAAUAAUCUAACUCCUAUUCUAGACCAAAUAGAUAACUUACUAAGUGGAUUAAAUAAAUUCCAAAUAA